CCCUUCUCUUUUCAAGCCUACUAUAAUUGCAACUCCUUUGUUAAGUUCUCCUUUAGUUUCUCCUCUAGUUGCAUUAGGUUUGGCUAAUAUAAGGAUUGCAAGGUGACAAGCAUGUAUGAAAGAAGCUUAUGUGUCAUCCAUAGGACAAACAUAGGUGGUAUCAUCCAUAAGUUAGCUAGUAACACAUGUCCUCCAUUUUUUUUUUAAACUUAAUAUGAAUCUUUCACAAAUCAUAUUCAAUUACUAAGAUUUAUAUUUAGGUCCCUACAUUACAAACAAGUCCUUAUAAAAUUUUCAAAAAUGAGGGAUGUUACACUCUCCCCUCGUUGAAAGAAAAUUUGAGUCCUCUAACUUUAACGAAAAGAUGAGAUCAAGAUUGCACCUGAAUAGAGGUCAUCAACAUCAUUGAGUCUUGCUCUUUCCUUAUAACAUUCAAAUCAAAAUUUUCUUCUAAUAACUUCCAUUGUUUCACAACCAGUCUAGCCAUAAAACUUGUAGAUUUUCUACUAAAUGCAUCAGCUACCAACAUUGGCUUUACCCGAGUGUUAACAGAUGGUACAAUCAUAAUCCUUUAAAAAUUCUAUCUAUCUCCGUUGCCUCAUGUUUAACUCUUCCUGAGUAAAAAUAUACUUUAAACUUUUGUGAUCAAUAAAGACUUUAAAUGUCUGCCCAUUCAAGUAAUGUCUCCAAAUCUUUAGAGCAAAAAAAAUUGCUGCCAAUUCCAAAUCAUGAGUUGGAUAAUUCAGUUUAUGACUCUUUAGUUGUCUAGAAACAUAAGCAAUCACUUUCCCCUUUUUGCAUCGAAACACAUCCAAGGCCCUUUCAUGAAGCAUCAGUAUAAUCUACAAAUCCCUCGUUACCACUUGGAAUAGUGAGAAUAGGGGCACUAUUCAAACCAAAAGGCAUUACUAAAAAUUCGUAGUGACCAUAUCAAGUUCUAAAAAUUGUUUGUAGGAUAUCCUCCUUGAUCUUUAAUUGAUAAUAACCUAACCUCAAAUCAAUCUUGGAGAAUAUUUGUGCACCUUCUAAUUGAUCCAACAAAUCAUUAAUUCUAGGUAGGGGAUACUUCUUUUUUUUUUUAUCGCCUAAUUCAACUGCCUGUAAUCAAUACUAGCAUGAUAAGAAGAUAGCCAAUUCAUGCCAAGUAUAAUAUCAAAACCCCAAAUCUCUAGGAGAAUCAAGUCAGCAAGGAAUUCGUGUUCUCUAAUAGAAAUCAAACAAGAUGGAUAAACCAAGUUUGUAGUCAAAGAAUUCCCAACAACAGUAGUUACAUAUAACAUAUAAUCUAGUGAUCUAGGUUGAAUGCCCUAAGUAACAUGCAAAAUAUUGUGAAACAAAAGGUAAGUUAGAACUAGGAUCAAACAAAACUUUUUGUAUUUUAUCAAAAACAUUAAUAGUACCUUCAACCACUGAUUUAGAAGCUUUGAAAUCUUAUUCAGUGAUAGCAUAUACUUUAGCAUGGGCUGAUGGUCUAAGAGACAUUGGCUCUUUCUUCUUCUUCAGAGAACAAUCUUUUAUUUUAUGAUCCAACUUCCCGCAAGCAAAACAGGCUCCAAUUACCUAAAAACAUUGACUCGUUUUAUGAUUUAACCCGCAUCUUGCGCAUGAUUGAGUCCUCUGCGGUGGCUGUUCUUUCUCAAAUCUAGAUGCCUUUACCCUCUUGUUUCUUAUUUCAGAUUCAUUCCCUCUCUUACUUUUACUGAUAAACUUGUCCAUAUGUUUCUUACCCCUGAUUUCCUGAAUUUCCUCCAAGUCUCUUUCAUUAUCAAAGCCCUUUCUACCACAUCAGCAUGUGCUUGGAGGUAAGACUGAUAUUCGACUUCUUAUUGUUGGCCUUAAGCCCCUUUCAAAUUUCUUUGCUUUUCUAGUUUCAUCAUCGGUUAGCUUUUCUAGUUUUAAGGCUGAUAUCCGACUUCUUAUUGUUGGCCUUAAGCCCUUUCUUUGCUACCGUCAAAUUUCCUUUAUAUAAGAUUCAAGAACUCCAAUUCUUUCUACUCUCUAAUGUAACCUGGGAAAUAUUUAUCGUUGAACUUUUCUACGAAUACUUUCCAUGUGAUUGGCUCGUGUUUGACUUCAGAAAUCCUUUUUAUCGUUCUCCACCAGUGCUCAGCCUCUCCUUCCAAUAUAAAGGCAACAAGAGAAACUUUAUGAUCAUCAUAACAAUUUAGGACAUCAAAUAUUUUCUCUAUCCGCAUUAUUCAUCAUUCUGCUAUCAUUGGAUCAGGCUCAUCACUAAAACUAGGAGGAAGAAGCUCCUUAAAUUAUCCCAUUCCUAGUCGAUUCUAAUUUAAUGUCCUCGAUCAACACUUUCAUCUCACUCAAUUACUCAAAAGAAGAUGAAGCAAGAGGACCAAAUGUCCUCGACAUCAUAGAUUACUAAAAGAGAACAAAGUAAUUUUUCACCGAUCACUAUAGUUUACUAGACCUCAAUAUAUUUUGCAAAUCAAACAUAUCAAAUAUCUCAGUAAUCCUCAAAUUAUGCUCUGAUACCACCUUUGUCAUGCCCCCCCCAAUUUUCACAUUUCGAAUGUUUGAAUCUAUCUUAAAAUCAAUAAUAUUAUAAUUCAACAAUAAUCCAGGAUCUAAACUUACAUUUGAGGACAUUGAGAAAACAUUCAAGUCAUUCACAUUCAUAAUUUCAUAAUUCAUAAAACCUAUGCAGUUUAAAAUCAUAUACCACGUCACUAUAUGAAUCAUAAAAUCUGAAACCAACUCACUAAGAUAAUAACCACCUCAUAAAUCCACAAGUAUGGGAUUCUAUAUAAUCACAAACCAAUAUUUACCACAUGUUCAUAUCAUUACAUAAAUUAAAUUUAACACUCCAAAAUCCUAAACAUGAGAGAUCCUUUAAACUUUUAUAAAACUCAUAAGUACAGAUUAACCAUCAACAUUUCAUUAGACACCAAAUGUAUUUAUACAAUAAAAACAUAUCAUGCACUAAAGUUUGCCUCAAAAUCUUCUAGCUUUCCACUACCUCAGCCCAAUUUAAACAUUUUAGCGAGCGAUAGGCUAUCCCGAAAAUUUUAUAUAGCAACGAAGUGAGCAUAUAAAGCUCAGCAAGCGACUAACAUAUCCAUGGCGAAAGAUGACAGUUUCAAACAAAUGAGGUAUCAAAUACAAGGUAGGGAUACAAGAGUUCAUAGAUAGCCACUCAACGAAUGCUGAAUUACAAUGUUAUUUCAUUCGAAGCAUGUUUUGUUCAUAACAAAGUUGUAAAGACUAAUUAAAGCAUAUCAAUGACAUAAGGAGUAUUUCGGGACAUAUCAAUGGCGUAUGAUUUGUAACGAACCAUAUCAAUAGCAUAUUAAACAUUUCGGAGCAAAUCAAGGGCAAAGGAAAAUGUUUCAAAGCAUAUCAAUGGCAUAUGAAACAUUUCGGAGCAUAUCAAUGGCAUAUGAAAUGUUUCCGAACAUAUCAAUAGCAUACGAAAUAUUUUGGAGUAUAUCAAUAACGCAUGAAAAGUUUCGGAACAUAUCAAUGGUAUAUGAAACAUUUUGGAGCAUAUCAAUGGCGCAUGAAAUGUUUCGUAGCAUGUCAAUGGCAUAUAAAACUUUUCGAAACAUAUUAAUAGCGUAUGAAACAUUUCGAAGUAUAUCAAUGGCGUAUGAAAUGUUUCGAAACAUAUCAAUGGCAUAUGCAACAUUUCAGAGCAUAUCAAUAACAAAUUAAACAAAAGCUCAAACAUCGCAUAUAACGUUACAUACAUUUCUUUCUUAUCCAAAGUACACAUAGAAACAUAUAACUAAAGCUCUGAAUAUCAUAUCAAACACAUAGAAGGCGAAGUGGGAUUCCAAACAUAAUCUCCCACGUUUGGGAGCGUCAUCGAUCCACGUCAAGAUGAAGCCAGAGGGGGUCGACAGAGCAUCGAGGGCACUAAACAUAUAUCCUUUACCAUUUCUAGCAAAGGUCUAGAUAAUUCCUUUACCAUUUCUGGCAAAGGUCCAUAUAAUUCCACAAACAUCAAAGUAUAAAAGGGCAUUUUGAACAAUAAAAUUGGCAUUUAUCGGAAACACAUGCGGAACAACGAAAUGCAUAUGCCUAUACGAAAUAUUACGAUACAAACAUAAACUUUACAUAAUAGAUUCAGGUAUGCAAAUAAUUGAAAGACAAGAGUAUACAGGAUUUCAAAACAAUAAUGUAACGCUCAACUGAAAUAAGGAUUUUAGUAUAAAUCAAUUUCCAAAGAGAUGAAUCAAGAAUAAGUGAAAUCGACCAAAGCUCGAUUCUGAUAGAAUUUGAGAGGCACAUUGCAUGAAUUAUUUGGAUAACAAAUUAUGCUCCAAUUUGCACAAAUUAGGUGUUAAGAUAUAUCAAUCUAGUUUUUAAUAAAUCAAAUUUUGUAUGAAUUAGAGUUUCGAACAAGGAGUUAUAAAUAGUUUAGUAACCAAAAGUCAAAGAAUAUUAUCUCUGUUUUGCAGAAUUCAUAGAGUUGAUUAGAAGAGAUGUUUCAAUAGGCAUUUAUACUCCAAAUCUUUCAAAUCUGAUAUGCACAGAAAGAUUUAUGAGUCUAAUUUCUGAUAAAUCAUGUUUUGCAUAAAUCAGAAUUUCCAACAAAGAGUUAUAAACAAGAGAGUACUGAAAGGUCAGAACCAACAGUCUCUGUUUUACAGAUUUCAUAAGGUCAGUUGAAAUAACAUUUUGGGUAGGUAAUUAGACUCCAAAUUUAUCAAUCUUAGUAUCAAAAGAAAAAUCUGUGAGUCUAUUUUUAGAUGAAUUUAGAUUUUCCUAAAUCAAAAAUCGAUGCAGAAAGUUAUGGCUAGAACAAUGAAGAAAGAUCAAAUCUCAAAAAUUUUCAGAUUCACAGUUUUAUUCCCAAACGAUAGAAAUAUCAUGUACAAAGCCAAAAUCUUCCAAAUUUUUUAAAAUUAAGAUAAAAUCAGAGAUUAAGAUUACUAUAGGAAAGGAUUAGAACACUUGCCUUAGAAAAAUACGAUUACCAAAUACAGGGAAUUGAUGCAAAACCUCAAGCCAAAGCAAAGCUUAUUCUUCUUCAAUUUAAUUUCUUUUCCCUUCUCUUCUCAAGCCUACACUGGUUGUAAUUCCUUUGUUAAGUUCUCCUUUAAUUUCUCCUCUAGUUGCAUUAGGUUUGGCUAAUAUAAGGAUUGCAAGGUGGCAAGCAUACAUGAAAGAAGCUUAUGUGUCAUCCAUAGAAUAAACAUAUAGGUGGUAUCAUCCUUAGGUUAGCUAGUGACACAUGUCCUCCAUUUUUUUUAAACUUAAUUUGAAUCUUUCACAAAUCAUAUCCAAUUUCUAAGAUUUAUAUU
rnacentral:lncRNA from 1 species